rnacentral:misc_RNA from 1 species
GGAAGGAUCAUUAACAAGUCAAUAUAUUCUGCUGUGGUGGCUGUGUGUCUACAUGAGUCGUCACAAGUGUGAUAUAGGCGCUCUGGGGGAGCCGGGAGGCGAGCCCAGACUGCACAGCACCUACCUGGGUGUGCAUGGGCAUGGGCGGGUGCGUGGGCACGUGAGUGCGUGCGUGCGCGUGCGUGUGUGUGUGUGCUGGGGGUGAUGAAGAGCUUUUGUUGUUGCUGGUUGUUGUUGUGGGUGUUGUUGGUGCUGCGGGGUGGCGGCGGCGGCGGAAGCUGCAGCGGCUGCGAGUGCGGCGCAACACAUGCACACGGUGUAGAGUGGAGAAGAGAGCAAAUACUUUUAACAAUGGAUCUCUUGGUUCUUGCAUCGAUGAAGAACGCAGUAAUGUGCGAAAAGUAAUGCGAAUUGCAUAACUCUGCGAGUCAUCUAAUCUUUGAACGCAAAUGGCACAGCCACGACGAGUGGCCGUAUGUCUGUUUGAGGGCGGCAAAUACCAUCACCAUUGGCUAAUGGUGGAGCUGUCUGACGCGCACGGGGGUCCGUGGGGGUUGGAUGAAGAGGAUGGUGUGCGUGUGGAGGGGCUGCGGCGACGAGAAGAGUGGCAGCAUGCAUGGGCGCGCGCAUGGUGGAUGUGAGACAGACGGAGACGUGUGCGUGCGUGUGUGUGUGUGUGUGGUGCAAAAGCAUGCACUGCACUGCACUGCACUGCACGUGUGUGGAUAUUCGUUCGCAUGGAUUGUGUGCGUGGGUGUGUGUGUGGGAGCGGCGACUGCGUGCAGGGAGCAACAAAGAGGGGGCGAGAGAAGAGGACUGCCUCAAAUCAGACAAGACAACCCGCUGAACUUAAGCAUAUCAGUAAGCGGAGGAAGAGAAACUAACAAGGAUUCCUGUAGUAACAGCGAGUGAACAGGGAGGAGCUCAAAUUUGGAAUCGGGCCUGGGAGGGCCGGAAUUGUAGUCUAGAGAGCGUGCGGGGUCCUGCGGGAGGAGCCUGGAGGUGCACAAGUGUCCUGGAACGGACCAUCACAGAGGGUGAGAAUCCCGUUUGGGCACGGCCGGGACGCGGGACGGGGCGCGGGCUCAAAGAGUCGAGUUGUUUGGGAAUGCAGCUCAAAGGGGUGGUAAACUUCAUCCAAGGCUAAAUAGGGGCAAGAGACCGAUAGCGAACAAGUACCGUGAGGGAAAGAUGAAAAGCACCUUGAAAAGGGAGUUAAAUAGAGCGUGAAAUUGUUAAAAGGGAAACGAUUGAAGCCGGGAUUGCGCGCGCAGAAGAGCUGCCGGCCGGUCAUGACGACGGCACCGGCUGAGCGAUUGAUUCGCCGGGAGGUGCGGGGUGGAGACGGGCAGGGUGGCGGCGGGUGCGAGUUGGGGCCUCUGUGGGACGCCCGGGAAGACCGUGAGAAGGUGGCCAGGCAGAGAUGCAGGGUGUUAUAGAUCACGGGGACGGGGUGGACGAGAGGGGUGGAGAGCGGCGUGUGUGUGUGCGGUUGGGUACUUGGGGCCGGGUGUGCGGGGUGCGAGAGAUUGCAGACUGGACGCGCGGGGCCUGGGGACGGACGGCAGACGGCACGGCGCAGGACCUGACGAAAGGGCUUUAAACGACCCGUCUUGAAACACGGACCAAGGAGUCUAACAUGCAUGCGAGUGUUUGGGUGGGAAGCUCGAGCGCGGAAUGAAAGUGUGUAGAUGGGAACACGGGCGGGUGCGUGGGCACGUGAGUGCGUGCGUGCGUGCGUGCAGUGGGCACCAUUGACCGAAGGAAUGGCCAUGCGGUGGGCAGAUUCGAGUCGGAGCAUGAAUGUUGGGACCCGAAAGAUGGUGAACUAUGCCUGGAUAGGAUGAAGCCAGAGGAAACACUGGUGGAGGUCCGCCGCCGUUCUGACGUGCAAAUCGAUGGUCAAAUCUGGGUAUAGGGGCGAAAGACUAAUCGAACCAUCUAGUAGCUGGUUCCCUC